rnacentral:rRNA from 1 species
UACGUAGGUGACCAGCGUUGUCCGGAUUUACUGGGCGUAAAGAGCGCGCAGGCGGUCAUUCAAGUCGCGUGUGAAAGCCCCCGGCUCAACUGGGGAGGGUCACGCGAUACUGAUCGACUCGAAGGCAGGAGAGGGUAGUGGAAUUCCCGGUGUAGUGGUGAAAUGCGUAGAUAUCGGGAGGAACACCAGUGGCGAAGGCGACUACCUGGCCUGUUCUUGACGCUGAGGCGCGAAAGCUAGGGGAGCAAACGGG